CGGCCGAGGGACGGCGCCCUCCGUGCGGCGCUCUGAGCGGCGCGUGCCGUACCGGCCCCGAGCGGGGGGCGCAGAGCCCUCCGAGCGCACACCUCCGUCCCACGGCCCGACGCCACAUCCGACCCGACCUUCACCGCCCGGGAUGGGGAUGGGGACCCCGCGGCGCGUCCCACCCCCGCCGCGCGAAGGGACCCUCCGUGCCCGCGAGCUGCCCGCGGAGAGGGGCCGCGCUCCGGGGGCUGCGGUGUACGGGAGCCCCCCCGGAGCCUCGGCGGGUGGGUGAACCUCGGGGACCGCGCGCCCUUAACGCUCCACUCGCUGUUUUUUUUUUUUUUUUUUUUUUUUUUUUCUGAGCUGGAAACGAUUAAAAAGCGAAAGCGAAGGAGGGGAGCGGGUCUGCCGGCAGGGUGUGCUGCCGCCCCAGCGAAGGGACGCGCGAGAAAAUCCCCGGAGCUGCCCCGGAGCAGCCUCACGCGAGCUCGGCUGCAGCUCCACGCCCGCGUCGCGCUCCCCGAACGCCGCGCUCGAAGCUCACCGCCCCGCGCCGCGUCCCCCGGCUGCGCAGCGUCCCGUGGCCACCGGAGCCUGGCGAGAAGCCGUGCCAAAGCCCUCUGCCCUCAGGAAGAGCCUCCCACCACCGGGCUUUAAGCUCCCAGCCAUCCCGAGCCAUUCCACGAUCCUAAGGUUUAUCACUCGCUCUGUCUGGGCAGCGCCGCCCGGGUGUCUGAUUUCUCCCCUCCCCUUCGAUCUCAGCAGCGUGAGGUGCAGCUGCUCUGCGGGGAUGGGCUUGGAGGCUCGGGGGGGUCUGGCCGGAGGGCUGUGCUGCCAGGCACUGUGAGUAGUGAAUAGCGGCAGAGAAUGUGGGAACACAGAGCUGUCUGCCUCCUCCAAUCGGUUUUCCGCUUAUUUUCCAGAAAGUUCCACACUACUGGGGGCUGCAGCAGCGGUGAGGCUGGGUGUUCAUCAGUAGGGCCCUCCCACUCCCAUCAAUGUCCUUCUCUGUCGCCGAGCCACUUGUCCGAGUCCCCUGGAGAGCAACAUCACCUCCCUGGGUCAGCCGUCCAUCCACACUUCCCCCGCUCUUUUCUUGCACAAACAAAACAGCCAAGGUAACCUUUGAGAGCAUUUUCUUAACAACAGCAGUAACAGAGCAAACUAUGAGGAUUCCCACCGCCAGCAACAUCAGGAGCCGAAGGCCCUCCUUGACGAGGCCACUCAGCCACCCCGCGACCUUGAGCUAAUAACAGAAUAUCUAUGGCAGUGCGAUUCUGUAGCAAGGCAUGCCGUAAGCUGUUCUGAUCGAGCAGAAGCUGUUUGAGAAAGGAGAGUGCAACCCUUGCAGCAAGCGAGAAAAGCUCCGUGGGAUCCUCACAUUCAGGGGUUAGCAGAGCACGCUUCAUGCGGUCAGAGCGGUUAGAGAGUAAUGUUUCAAAGCUGCUCAAAGGAACGGGUUUCUGUGCAGCCUUCGGCCUCACCCUGCGUGUCUGUUGGUGAUAGCGUGCUCUCUUGGCUCGGGGGCUCCCACAGGGCAGCACGUGGCCACUUUUUUGGAGAGGAUCCAACCUGGCCCUCCCCUGGCGCAACCUGAGGCCACAGGCAGACGGAAUGGAUGUAUUGCUUUGGUAUCCCCUUCCGAGAGGAGCCCUCCCCAACUCCUCUGGGUAACUGUGGCUUUCCCCGCCGCUCCCUAAGCUGGCAGAGUCCCCCGCGGGGCCCUUCUGUGUCCCUCAGCACCCCCUGCUCAGCGCUGUGCCAUCGCUGUCCCCAUCCCGCUCUCCUCAAAGUCUGUCCCGGCUCAGAGCGCCCACAGCCCCGAGCGCGGCCUCACCCACGCACUGCACUCCUUCCCCUGCUCCCAUCUCCUCCUCCUUCCCGGCUCCCCGUCCC
ensembl:lncRNA